AAGCUGUCCAGCUCAAGCAGGAGCGAUAGACAGCAGCGGCAGGAGAAAAGUAGCUGGAGACCUGGAGUGGAAGGCUCCGUUCACCCGGUAGCUAGCUCAGGUCAAGCUAAGAUGAUAAGGCGUGAGCGCUGCUGACAGUACGGUGUGUGGCGCAAACCUGCGGUAAAAACUGCAUUUAAACCGCUGGGGAAAUACAGUGCUAGCCGAGCAUUUGAAACGUAUGCAUACAAACCACCUACCGGCAAAGCCAAGCUGCCGUUUUGCGCGCUCCUGUCGACGGGCAGAGGUACGCUACUCUCUCUGUUCUUGAUCACUUCUUGCGUGUGAAAAUUUACACACCCUGUAGAGGUAUUAGUAACUGAGCACACCCUAGUAACUGAGCACAAGUUAGGAUGUCUGGAUCAUAUUGAAAUUCCAUAGCCUUACUUCUAUGUUUUGGCGUGGUUUGCCAUGUAGAUCCGCCGGUGAACAUGAUAGAUAAGCUGCCAUGUCUGUGCUCUGUAUUUUUGGUUUUUGCAGGUAACACGUAGUACGUACAGGUACAGGGCUCCUUCAUGUCUGUGACGAGACUCAGCAUGGUUAAUCUGCUGGCGUUUUUGCUGCUGCUGUUCUAUGGAGCUGGCAACAUCAAUUGCUCAACAGUCAAUCACGAGAACAGUAGAGACAUGCGCUCGUUGCUGGAUUUCAAAGCGGCUACCAACGACCCAACAGAUGCCUUGAGAUCCUGGGACAGAAGCGUCCACUACUGCAACUGGACGGGUGUCAUUUGCAGCUCAUUGUGUCCAGGGCGUGUCGCCGCUCUGCAACUCGCCGGCCAAAGCUUGUCUGGCGAGAUCACCCCCUCUCUUGGGAACUUAACGUUCCUUAAGGUCCUCAACUUGUCCUCCAAUGGCUUCUCAGGCCAGUUAACUCCCCUAAACCUAAACCAACUCCAUGAGCUGGUCCUCCUUGACCUCAGCUCCAAUUCAUUCCAGGGGACGAUUCCUGACUCACUCAUGAAUUGUUCAAAACUACAGUAUCUAGUUCUUUCUGGAAACAUGCUAGAAGGUCCAAUCCCCAAGAAAAUUGGUUCUCUUUAUAAUCUAUUAGGCUUAGGCCUUUCUAGGAAUAAUCUUAUUGGGGUCAUCCCACUAACCAUCAGCAACUCCACCCAGUUAGAACAACUUAGCCUUGAAGAAAAUCAACUAGGGGGGAGCAUUCCUGAUGUGUUUGGGCAAUGGUCCAAGAUGUUGGAAUUGUCCGUAGGUGAAAAUAGGCUCUCAGGUCGAAUACCACCUUCAAUCUUUAAUCUGACUUCGCUUCAAAUAUUAGAUUUGUAUGCAAAUAAGCUACAAGGGGAAUUGCUGCUUGACAUUGGCGAUACCCUCCCUGAAAUCAUAAUUUUUACGCUGGGCCAGAACAUUCUUGAAGGUCACAUCCCAGCUUCCCUAGGAAACGCUUCACGGCUGCAAGUGAUAGAUUUGUCUUCUAACAGUUUCGUUGGAGAAAUUCCUACUUUCGGAAAGCUACUAAACCUUAUGAACAUGAACCUUGGAUAUAAUAUGCUUGAAUCAAGUGAAAGCCAAAGAUGGGAAUCCUUGUAUGGACUAACAAACUGUAGUAAUCUAUAUGCGCUAACAUUAGAUAGUAAUCAGCUGCAAGGAGCCAUACCAGAUUUGGUCGGUAGGUUAUCCACUAAACUCAGACGUCUACACAUGGGUGGAAACAAUCUGUCGGGAAUAGUUCCUUUAAGCCUAGCAAACCUUAGUAGCAUAAUCGAUUUGGAUCUUAGCAACAACAAUUUAACUGGUACAGUCGAAGGAUGGUUAGGGAGUCUCAAAAACUUACAAUCUUUAGAUCUUCAUGGAAAUAAUUUCAUUGGAUCCAUUCCACCAUCUUUUGGCAACCUUUCAGAACUGACAAUACUUUCUUUAGCACAAAAUGAAUUUAAAGGUCACAUACCUCCCACAUUAGGAAAACUUUCACAACUCUCAAGGCUGGACCUUAGCUAUAAUAAUCUGCAAGGUGACAUACCUCCAGAAAUUAGUGAGCUUAAACAACUCAUUGCACUAUACCUCUCUUCUAGCAGACUCUCGGGAAAAAUUCCUGAUGAUCUGGGCAAGUGUCAGGGCCUCGUAACCAUCCAAAUGGACCACAAUAAUCUCACGGGCGUCAUUCCAACCUCUUUAGGCAACCUUUUGAGCUUGUACAUGCUCAACCUGUCCUAUAAUGAUUUAUCAGGUGCCAUCCCAACAGUUCUAAGUGACCUUCAACUUCUUAGCAAGUUAGACCUAUCAUAUAAUCGUCUCCAAGGAGCACUCCCAAGAAAUGGAGUGUUUGAGCACCCUGCAAACGUUUCACUUGAUGGCAACCAGGGACUUUGUGGACGGGCAACCGGUUUCCAUGUGCCCUCAUGCCCAGAUGCCUCGCCGAGAACAGGAAGACAUUAUCGUUUGCUUACGGUGUUGAUCCCAAUAAUUGGCUUCCUGUCGCUGGCACUGUUGACUUGCUUUAUAAUCCAUGAGAAGAUACCACAAGCAACGUUUUCAUUGUUGCCUUCUCUUAGGGAGAAAUUCCCUAGAGUUUCUUACUGGGAUCUAGCUCGAGCGACAGGCAACUUCUCUGAGAUUAACUUGAUUGGCGAAGGAAGUUACAGUUCAGUGUACAAAGGAAAGUUGAGACAAGUUAAAACGGAAAUAGCAGUCAAGAUACUUGACCUUGACAUUCCAGGUGCCGAAGGAAGUUUUGCAUUAGAAUGCAAAGCGUUGAGAGGCAUCCGUCACAGAAACAUUGUUCCUCUCAUAACUGAAUGCUCUGCAAUCGACAACAAAGGCAAUGCUUUCAGAGCUCUAAUCUAUGCUUUCAUGCCCAAUGGCAACUUGGAUACUUGGUUGCAUCAUCAAGGGAAUCAGGCAGCUGCAAGGCAUUUAAGCUUAGCUCAAAGAAUAAACAUCGCUAUUAACAUAGCUGAUGCAUUGGACUAUCUGCACCAUGAUACUUGGAGGCCCAUCAUCCAUUGUGAUUUGAAGCCGAGUAACAUACUCCUAGACAUUCAUAUGAAUGCCUGUCUGGGAGACUUUGGCAUCGCAAGGUUCUACAUUGAUUCUAAACUAAGAACGGUCGGAGAUUCAAGUUCAAUUGCUGCAAACGGCACUCUGGGAUAUAUGGCUCCAGGAUUUGUGGUGUUCCAUCUUCGUGGAGUGAUUGUUGACGUUGGAGGUGUUGGUCCACGAUCGUCCGUCUCCUUUGAUCGACUACAUCGGAGGAGAUGGCAGAUAAUCAGUGGAUGUAUAGUGGGUUUUUCCGUCGGAAUCAAGUAACAACAGAGUGGAUCGAGAAAACUGAUGUGUUUUUGAAAGAGAUAUUCCGUAGUCCAAUGAGGAUGGUGCCAGAAUGCCCGUGUGCCAGAUGUAAGAGGCGUAUUCGCAGAGAUAAGAGUGAGAUGACUAAGCACCUUCGCACGCAUGGAUUUAUGCCCAACUUUAAUAUGCCGAUAAACUUUGCCCAGCGGGACCGUGGUAGAGAGGAUGUGAUACGACAACGUGUCGCUGGUUAUGAGGACGAUGGGGUUAGAGACAUGCUAGAUGAUGUCUUUGCUGCACAGCCGACACCUCCGUCACAUUCAACGAAUGAACCGGAGGAGCCGGAGGAAACCGCAAAGGCCUUCCUGGAAAUCUUGGCCUCGUCAAAGAAACCUCUCUAUGAGGGUGCCAAGCUGUCUGUGCUGGAUGCCAUCUCGCAACUGAUGGCAGUCAAGGCUGAGUAUGGCUGUAGCCGAGGUUGCUUCGAAGCAUUUCUGGGAGUAUGGGCUAACAGCCUGCCUGAGGGCCAUGAACUGCCGAAAACCAUGUACGGUACGAAGAAAAUCAUGAAGGCGCUCUCGAUGGACUAUGAGAAAAUACAUGUUUGUCCAAAGAAUUGCCUUUUGUUUAGGCAUGAAUAUGCGGAUGACAAGUACUGUAGGAAGUGCGGUUCCUCUCGGUAUAUUGAGGUGGUCGAUAAGCAUGGUCAGAAGCAGCAGCUAAAAAUCCCUGUGAAGGUUCUUCGGUAUCUUGAUUUUAUAAAAAGACUGCAGCGCCUUUUCAUCACCGAGGAGUCUGCCAAAAUGAUGAAGUGGCACAAGGAAGGGAAAAGGUACAAUCCAAAAAAAAUUGUACAUCCAUCAGGAGGUGAAGCAUGGAAGUCAUUCGAUAUAGAGUACCCGAAGGAAGCAGCCGAGGCUGGGAAUGUCAGAAUUGCUAUAACAGGUGAUGGGUUCAAUCCAUAUGGUAUGUCAUCUAAUCCAUACAGCUGUUG
rnacentral:rRNA from 1 species